CUUCGGAUGAGUCCAGUAUGAGCAAUACAAGACUUUUAGUCGUUAAUCAUUUUUGAUUCAUUCUCUUUUGUAUCAGUCAGAAAAUGGACAUGAAAAGAUUAGAAAGGCACGUUCGGUAAAGUCUUUGGACAGACCAUCUGUGUCUUAUUGCGUAGCAAGAAUGAAAAGAUUAAGCAAGGGCAAAGACUAUAAAAAUAAUAUUUAUCUCUAAAGGACGAUGCAAGAUUUGGUCCCAUAGCUAAAACAUAUGUCAGGGAAAAAUGUGGUAAAAACAUGUCGCAGUCCUUGCAUCUUGUUUUGACAUGAUUUUGUGAUAAAAUCGUACAGAUUCCACAKUAUAAUUGAAAAGGUACCUCAUUCGACAUUCGACAUUCAACCAGGUUACCUUUGAUUGAACAUCCUUGGAAGAUUUUGCAAGUGAAAAAAAAUCCUCUGACUGAAAUAUUGAAAGUUUGACAUUGAAAUUCGAUAUUCGACAAAGUUAAUUCCGAGUGAUGCAGUAUCCUUAUAAAUCCUAGACAUGGAAGAAAGCGUAUGACUAUAAAAUUGCAAAUUCGACAUUCAAAUUCGACAUUCGACAAGCCUGCCAGCGAAUAAAUGUAUGUGGAAAUCAGUCGUGGAGUUGGAACAAAUCGUCUGACUAGCYCAGCAUAUGAACAUAAGAUGGUGUUGACUGUAUGGGAAUAAGCCUGGCUAGACGUAAUGAAAGAAGACGUCUGAUAGUUUCGGUUCCCUUAGGGCUUUUUCUAUAAAGUUMAUGUAUGGAAGCUUAGAUAUUUUAUAUGGAUAAUGUGUUUGGUUGGAUAUUUGACUUGGAGUCGUGCUCUUGAUACUUAGAGGUCCUCGUCAUCAUCAUCAUCAUCAACAUCAUCAUUAACAACAUUUCUAAAAAAACAACUACACCUACAGCAUAGUUCGUGGACUUUUAUCGCUCAGAGGUACGAAUUUUGGUGAGAUUUUCCCCUUGAUCAAGUGUUCUUCUAUGACAGGAUUCUGGACCGUACAAAGAAUUGGGAGUGUCCACCAUGCUUUUGCUUGCCGGCAGAUCACUGGUACUCAAACCCAUUCGGCCUCUAAAGCGUUAUGGGAGUAGGCCGGGGGAGAUCCUCCUUAUAAAGCAAUAGGAUAUAUCUUGAAUGCAUCGUACCUUAUAUAGAAAUAUUGCUGUAACACGUGACAGCUGCCAUUUAAAUGAAAAACCAAUGAGAUAGCUACAAAAAAGACUGCUGUGUAUUCUCGUGUAUAGUAAUUAAGAACUUUAUUUUUUUUAAAGUUUGUCAAAGAAGGUURUUAAUUAUAGGUUCUUAAUUGCUAUGAAAGGAUACAUCUAUAUGUUGGUUGAAUAAAUCGUAGAUACUAAUGAGAAAUACUUUGUUAUAGUUCCACCAAGAUGGGAAGGGUCACGUAUAGCAAAAACAAAGGAUAGAAGAGCAGUUUAGACGAUGAUGCAAUUGCCCCGCAAUUGCACAAUUUUUUAAACAGAAGAUUAGUAAAAUACAAUUGUUAGAUUUAUCGAGUAUUAUUAGCAUCAGAGAAACUAGUAAAAUCUAGUAUUGAUUGAAUACUAAAUAAUAUAUAGUAUAUAAUUUAUAAGGCAUAGUCCUAUCGAGCUAAGCGAAAUGUACAACCUCACGUGGAAUAUCAUCUCUUAGUCCACUCCAGCUUGCAGUCUAAUUGUUUUGAAACAUUUGGUGUAUUUCCUCUAAGUUUGACUAAGAAAAGCUAUAUMCUUUAAGACGUAUAAUAGCUAUUUGAGACUUUGGUGGGAUUAUAUAAGASAAUACUUUUCCAGUAUCUUUCAAGCUGGAGAUUUCGAGCUUGUGAUAAGCUCGUUUUGCGUAAUGCAACCUCAAAAACACAUAAACAUGUUUUCUUUGCAAACAGUUUCUUUUAUCUAAUAUCAGUGAGUCACCGCUUUGA